CCGCGCCCCCGCCAGCCCAGAGCGCCUUUGCUCCGCCCGGCCGCUGUUCGCCUAGGAAAAUCCCCCCCGCUGCCACCCGCGGCCGGCGCCUGGUGAUGUCAUUGUUUGUGGAAAUCUGCACAGCUCCGGGAAGGGAAUUACGGGAGACAUGUACAAGGAGGAGCUGGCAACUGUCCUCAGCAAGAACAGAUGAAUAAAUAAGGAUCACGAGCGUUCGUCUUUUAGCUGAGGUGAUUUGUCAAAAGCCACAGCACUGUGGCAGUCCUUUGAUUUUAAGGAUUAUGCUCAACUUCAAUCAAGGAUAAUUUUAAAAGCUAAAUCAGAGAGUAGAUUGAAGAACAGAUUUUGGUGAACGUGAAGUGACCUGUUCAAAUAUGGAGCUGAAUAUAUUGGUCUGAAGGCAUUUCAUUUUUGCCAAGGCAUUAAACAAUGGGGAAGUUA